rnacentral:rRNA from 1 species
UUUUAUGGAGAGUUUGAUCCUGGCUCAGAGUGAACGCUGGCGGCGUGCCUAAUACAUGCAAGUCGAACGAUGAAGCUUCUAGCUUGCUAGAAUGCUGAUUAGUGGCGCACGGGUGAGUAAUGCAUAGGUCAUGUGCCUCUUAGUUUGGGAUAGCCAUUGGAAACGAUGAUUAAUACCAGAUACUCCCUACGGGGGAAAGAUUUAUCGCUAAGAGAUCAGCCUAUGUCCUAUCAGCUUGUUGGUAAGGUAAUGGCUUACCAAGGCUAUGACGGGUAUCCGGCCUGAGAGGGUGAACGGACACACUGGAACUGAGACACGGUCCAGACUCCUACGGGAGGCAGCAGUAGGGAAUAUUGCUCAAUGGGGGAAACCCUGAAGCAGCAACGCCGCGUGGAGGAUGAAGGUUUUAGGAUUGUAAACUCCUUUUGUUAGAGAAGAUAAUGACGGUAUCUAACGAAUAAGCACCGGCUAACUCCGUGCCAGCAGCCGCGGUAAUACGGAGGGUGCAAGCGUUACUCGGAAUCACUGGGCGUAAAGAGCGCGUAGGCGGGAUAGUCAGUCAGGUGUGAAAUCCUAUGGCUUAACCAUAGAACUGCAUUUGAAACUACUAUUCUAGAGUGUGGGAGAGGUAGGUGGAAUUCUUGGUGUAGGGGUAAAAUCCGUAGAGAUCAAGAGGAAUACUCAUUGCGAAGGCGACCUGCUGGAACAUUACUGACGCUGAUUGCGCGAAAGCGUGGGGAGCAAACAGGAUUAGAUACCCUGGUAGUCCACGCCCUAAACGAUGGAUGCUAGUUGUUGGAGGGCUUAGUCUCUCCAGUAAUGCAGCUAACGCAUUAAGCAUCCCGCCUGGGGAGUACGGUCGCAAGAUUAAAACUCAAAGGAAUAGACGGGGACCCGCACAAGCGGUGGAGCAUGUGGUUUAAUUCGAAGAUACACGAAGAACCUUACCUAGGCUUGACAUUGAGAGAAUCCGCUAGAAAUAGUGGAGUGUCUGGCUUGCUAGACCUUGAAAACAGGUGCUGCACGGCUGUCGUCAGCUCGUGUCGUGAGAUGUUGGGUUAAGUCCCGCAACGAGCGCAACCCCCUUUCUUAGUUGCUAACAGGUCAUGCUGAGAACUCUAAGGAUACUGCCUCCGUAAGGAGGAGGAAGGUGGGGACGACGUCAAGUCAUCAUGGCCCUUACGCCUAGGGCUACACACGUGCUACAAUGGGGUGCACAAAGAGAAGCAAUACUGCGAAGUGGAGCCAAUCUUCAAAACACCUCUCAGUUCGGAUUGUAGGCUGCAACUCGCCUGCAUGAAGCUGGAAUCGCUAGUAAUCGCAAAUCAGCCAUGUUGCGGUGAAUACGUUCCCGGGUCUUGUACUCACCGCCCGUCACACCAUGGGAGUUGUGUUUGCCUUAAGUCAGGAUGCUAAAUUGGCUACUGCCCACGGCACACACAGCGACUGGGGUGAAGUCGUAACAAGGUAACCGUAGGUGAACCUGCGGUUGGAUCACCUCCUUUCUAGA